rnacentral:lncRNA from 1 species
CUUGAGUGUGACGGUGAAUCCAGAGAGCUCAGCCUUUCUGUGCAUCAACAGAGCGUUGAAAAGCUCCUGCUGUGAGUUCCAUGUUUGUUCUUUCUCUGCUGUUUUCCUGCUGAUGGACGUCACCUUCACUCCUCGGCUUCAUCCAGAUUCUUUUCUCCAUCAGGAGACUGCAGCAGAACCAGCAGCUCUACACAUGAAGGUGGAAACUUCUGAAAGUCAGGACUGAUUCAGUAGGUGUGAGCUCUGCUAUGAGUCAGUGUGAGGACAGAGAGGAGGGAGUCCCUCCCUCUAAAAGCCCUCUGUGUGGGGACCAUGAGAGCCGGACCAAAGCUCAGAGGUAAGAGGACCGUCUCUG